GGGGGGGGGGUGGAGUGAAAACACACACAAAAAAAAGCCCGGAGCCGUCUGUGCGCCGGGAACCUUGUGGAAAGGAUUCUGUUGCUCGAGUAUGAGUGUUUGUGUGUGCGUGUGUGUGUUGCCUUUUUGGGAUCUGUCCUCGUGCCGUCGUCUCCGUGCAUCUGGCUCGUUUGAGAAACUAUCCCAGAGUUCGAAAGGUGUGGACAUUGGCUGGAGGUUCCCGUCUCACGAGCGAGCUUGCGGAAGGAGGCCGGUUUAGUCGGAGGGAUUCCUGGCAGAGUGAUUUGGUUUUUCAUGUAAUGUAAAUCACAUUGCCAGGGAUUUCCAACCGGUUACAACUAAAAUGCACGCACGCACGCACCCUGACGGAGACAGAAUACAUUCAACUGCCAUGACAUUAGGUACCUCUGCACGAGCUACGACACCUUAAGCAAAUACUGCAUCUAAUAUUUUCUCGUACAUUUCCAGAAACGUUCCACGGUAUGUUUAGCUAGGGAGGUUUUUGUAAAUAUAUAAUAUGUUGGACGUGUCCCAUUCAGGGGGUGGGCAAACCUUUGCGAAAGUAUUUGUAAAAAUUAUUAUUUUAAUGUUAAGAUCAGAAUUGAUUCUGACUUAAAAACACAUUUUAUUACAAUCAAUUAACCGAUGAUUUAAUUAAAUACAGAAAUAUUUUAAGAAAACUGCACUUUUCUUUCAAGAAUAAGGACUUUUAAAAAAAAAAAAAAGUUUGUUUUUUUAAAACAGAAGUACAAACAGGAUUUCCCAAAAGUGAUAGAGACUUCAUUUUUGUCCAUUUCAUUUCAGGUAUCAUUCGAGCAGAAGUGAGGCCAUCAGCAUUUGACAGCAUAUGUUUUGCACUCCCUUGUCCAUGGCUCGCCAAAUUGACUUUGGACUAGCAUUGCAAAAUUGCCUGGAAAGAACAUUUUAUGUCCCCAACUGUAGCUCAGCACCAUUUUGAGAAGCUUUACACCUGUCACUCUGCUAAAACAAUAAGUACUAAUCGUGUUUCGAUAAACUCAUGGCUAGCAUAAAUUGUACUGUGUGUUGAAGAAGUGCAGUCGGGGACAGAAAAACAAAUGAUCAGGCGGCAGUUUUGCAAUCGGCAAGCCCCGGGCAAGGAAAUAAUACCCUUAACAAAACUGCAAAGUGUAAGCUGUCAAAUGCUGAUGGCCUCAUAUCUGUCCAAAUGAUACCUGAAACAAAAUAGAAAAAAAGGAUAGUAUAUAGCAUAGUGACAUUUUUUUUUUUUUUUUUUUUUUUUAAAGGUGAUUUUCAUUUUAAAAAACAACAACGGCUAAAUUAAUCUAACAAAUAUUACAGGACUUGUGAUAAAGUACAGUAAAUGCAGGCCAUAUUUUUCCCACCCCUACUUUAUCCAAUCCAAAUCCCCCAACCAGCAUUUUAACAAGCUCACUGAUGAACACAUUACAACUUAAUCCAUGGAUUUGGCUCUAGACUUCCAUCCACACUAUAGCAUAAACCAUCUGGGUGCCUCAAGAGUUUGGACGAGGCGCAGGACUUAGCUCGCUCCGUGAACAGUUCAGUGGAAAAGCCUGUGUUCACAGUGGCUAAGUUCCGCUCCUUGCGAGGCUUUCCGACGUUUUGAAGCGCCGCUGUUGUAACAGCUGCGAAGAGUCAACGUUGGAUCAACUAUUAUGAAGUUAUGCACUAGAUGCUACCCAGUCGUCAACCAUCGCAAAGGAAAAGCAAGCGAUAACAGAGGUUUUCUUUGCAAUGUGAACGUGUUGAGACCUAGGUGCCACUUCAUUAGGCAUACCUGCAAAUGUGAAGCAAUCCAAUCUGAGGGUUUAAAAAAAUAUAUAUAUAUAUAUAUAUAUAUAUAUAUUAGUUUUCUGAUGGUUACAUUGGUGAUUUUGUCACAUUUUGAUUAUGUUUGCAUCAUUUAUUGGCUAAAAAAACAGACUUUAUUUUUAUGUUGAAGGGCAUGCCGAGGUUUCACAGAGACUACUAUAAAAGUACCCAAAGGACUUUGUUUGGACAUUUUAUUAGGAUGUGUGUGGGGAAACAGGGGUUUGCCAAAUCUCAGUUCAAAAUGUAUCCAACUAGUUUUGUAAUGAUUUUGUGCCAACUCAUGAUGUUUAAGUGCAUGUGUCUAAAAUGUUUUUUUAAGACUGCUCUAACAGUAUAUAACGGGCAUUAUUUUGACUUUCUCAGGGUGUACCUGCAUACACUGGAGAAGGUGUGCACCAAAUGUGGGGUGAUGUUAAAGGAGGUGUGAGGCUUAAAAUGUUUCAUAAAAAAAAGUUUAGGAGUUUUUGUGAAGGUGUGCUGGAGAGAGUGGUUGUGUCAACUCCCUGAGUUUUGUAGACUUCAGUUCAGUACACAAAUCAUCUAGUAUUAAUAUGCAGUUUUUCCUAAUGAUAUGGCUGGUGAAUAGACAUGCUAAAGAUUUUUUUUUGCUUGCACUGUAUACAGGGAUAAUGCAAUUUAAGUGUCAUUGUACAGCAUGUCCUCCAUUAGUUGGAUAAAAUGAUUUCUAUAGUGUCCA